ensembl:lncRNA
GUGUGUGUGUGUGUGUGUGUGACAGUUGUCGUGCAGCAGGUGCUGCUUGUUGGAGAUUUAUUUAGAAUGGACUGAAGCUCUCACAGAACUCUGAACUCUCCUCAGAGCAAAGACCAGAACCCAGAGGAGACACAGCCGAGCCCGGAGUCCUCAGGGGACCAAGAGACAGCGAGAGGGACCUGAGGACAUGGACAGAGUCUGAUCCUGAGUCACUGAAGGUGAGAAACCAAUCAGUCUAUUCAAGUUUCAGUAACGCAAAUAACGUGUUAAUAACUUCAGCCUCCAAUGAAUGACGCUUGUCCAGGUGCAUUGUGGGAGAUGGAGGCUCCAUUGUUAUGAAUCAAUCAAUCCGCAUGUCUCUGUUACUCUCCUUUAUUUCUUCAUUAAUUAUCUUUAUACGAGUUAUGAAAAACAGAAUGUAACCUGUUUGUAAUAGAUCAAUUAAUUAGUAUUUAUAAAGUCAUAUUAGAGCUUUUACUCUGUUAACAAUAUAACUGCUUACUUAUUUUAUUUUUAUUGUCAUAAAUAAUGUGUGUGCGUGUGUGUAACUGCGGGGCAACUGGGGUUUAUAAUUAGACUUCCCCCACAGACACACACACUUUAGGCCCCGCCCCCUGUCACUGAGGGUUGAAGGUCAUUCGUGACUCUUAAAGGAGCAGUGCACCGUUUUCUCCUCGUACGUUUAGAUUAUAGCCAGUUAUGUUCCCAGCAACAUCUUUACUAACAGAACUUACGGCUCCUGAUGGUCGCAUGCCUUUGAAGGUCCUGGACCCCUGUAGGUCUAUUAGUCUUGGACCCUAGAAGGUCUAAAUGUCUUUAUCCCGUGAGGGUUUCAUAAUCCUGGUCCUCUGAUGGUCUAGUUGUCUUUAGCCCCCUGAACGUCUCGUAAUCUUGGGACCUUAAAGGUCUAGCAUUCUUUGUCUCUUUAGUUGUCUCUGGCCCCUGAAGGGCUAGUUGUCUCUGGCCCCUGAAGGUCUAGUUGUCUCUGGGGUCUAGUUGUCUCUGGCCUCUGAAGGUCUAGUUGUCUCUGGGGUCUAGUUGUCUCUGGCCCCUGAAGGUCUAGUUGUCUCUGGGGUCUAGUUGUCUCUGGCCUCUGAAGGUGAAGCUCGAGACGGAUGACGUUCUCACUGAGGUUCCCUUUUCUCCCCAUGGGAGGCGUUUUCAUCUGGGGGAGUCGAUGUGAAGGUUUCAGGACGGAGGUUCUUCUUGUGUUCAGACUCUGAGGCUAAUUUGUCAUUUGCGAUUUUGGGCUCUACAAAAUAAAAUGAAUUGAAGGGUCUAGUUGUCUCUGGCCCCUGAAGGUCUGUGUUAUGAAGGUUUCAGGACGGAGGUUCUUCUUGUGAAAUAAAAUGAAUUGAAGGUCUAGUAAUUGUGGGCUCUGACUGACUGUCUGACCAAUGAAUGAGCAACGCCGCUGUAAGCCCCGCCCACGCUGCCCCGUCUGUUUGUCAGCAGAGCAAACAGACGAGGUCCAAGUUACAGCACUCUCAGUCCAGGUCCUUCAUGAGUCUCCUGGUGAGGACCUUCGUCAAUACUCAGGAGAUCUAUUGAUCCACAGGAAACAUCUGAAGGUCAACGAGUGAAACAUCAAAGUCCUGAAGAUUCAGUUCUUAGCCCUGAUUAUAUUCUUUGAUGAGUCUAUUGAUCAGUCUGAUAGUAAAUACAGUGAAACUGGUCUGAAGCAGGAUAAUUAUGUCAUUCAAUGUGGAUCAAUACAGUUAAAGUACUAAUGCUACCUGACGCUGGACAGGUGAGUGUGACAUCAUCAUCUACGUCAUCAUCUUCUUCCACUCCACCCUCAGCUGAUGGCGUUACCGUGGAACCCCGGCAUCCACCUGACGUUGCAGCUGGCCGUGCUGCUGAUUUCACCGGAAGGUAGACGUCCUGCUAGCAUCCGGUUGCUUAAGGCUAACUGCUGUGGGCUGGCCUUCAAAAUAAAAGCCUUUGAGUGCAAACCAACAGCGUCAGACAUAAAACAUGGUGUCAUGUGACAAUAAAGUGUUCGUCUGAGUGAACUCAGUCAUACGUUCCCACAAUGGGAAGCUGUUGUCAACAGAGCAUCACCAUCCUUAUCUGAAC